rnacentral:rRNA from 1 species
UACGUAGGGGGCAAGCGUUAUCCGGAUUUACUGGGUGUAAAGGGAGCGUAGGCGGCAUGGCAAGUCAGAUGUGAAAGGCAGGGGCUCAACCCCUGGACUGCAUUUGAAACUGCCAGGCUGGAGUGCAGGAGAGGUAAGUGGAAUUCCUAGUGUAGCGGUGAAAUGCGUAGAUAUUAGGAGGAACACCAGUGGCGAAGGCGACUUACUGGACUGUAACUGACGCUGAUGCUCGAAAGCGUGGGGAGCGAAC